rnacentral:rRNA from 1 species
UGGGGAAUUUUGGACAAUGGACGCAAGUCUGAUCCAGCCAUUCCGCGUGCAGGAUGAAGGCCCUCGGGUUGUAAACUGCUUUUGGACGGAACGAAAAGCCGCUUUCUAAUACAGAGCGGUCAUGACGGUACCGUCAGAAUAAGCACCGGCUAACUACGUGCCAGCAGCCGCGGUAAUACGUAGGGUGCAAGCGUUAAUCGGAAUUACUGGGCGUAAAGCGUGCGCAGGCGGUUAUGUAAGACAGGUGUGAAAUCCCCGGGCUUAACCUGGGAACUGCAUUUGUGACUGCAUAGCUAGAGUACGGUAGAGGGGGAUGGAAUUCCGCGUGUAGCAGUGAAAUGCGUAGAUAUGCGGAGGAACACCGAUGGCGAAGGCAAUCCCCUGGACCUGUACUGACGCUCAUGCACGAAAGCGUGGGGAGCAAACAG